rnacentral:tRNA from 1 species
GCCAGUUUGGCUCAGUGGAUAGAGCAUCCGCCUGUGGACCGAAGGGUCCUGGGUUCGAUUCCAGUAAAAGGCA